GGUUCGGUGGCGUAGUUGGUUAUCGCAUCUGUCUAACAUGAAAAGUCAUAAUCAGUGGUUCCACAGAAGGUCCCCAGUUCGAGCCUGGGUCGAAUCA